rnacentral:rRNA from 1 species
UACAGAGGGUGCAAGCGUUGCUCGGAAUCAUUGGGCGUAAAGGGUAGGUAGGUGGUCUUAUUUGUCUGGGGUGAAAGCCUUGAGCUUAACUCAAGAAGUGCCUCGGAAACGGUAAGACUUUGAGUCUCGGAGAGGGUCGUGGAAUUCCCGGUGUAGCGGUGAAAUGCGUAGAGAUCGGGAGGAACACCAGCGGCGAAGGCGGCGACCUGGACGAGCACUGACACUCAACUACGAAAGCGUGGGGAGCAAACAGG